GAUGAACGCUGGCGGCGUGCCUAAUACAUGCAAGUCGAGCGAACAGAUGAGGAGCUUGCUCCUCUGACGUUAGCGUCGGACGGGCGAGUAACACGUGGAUAACCUACCUAUAAGACUGGGAUAACUUCGGGAAACCGGAGCUAAUACCGGAUAAUAUAUUGAACCGCAUGGUUCAAUAGUGAAAGACGGUUUUGCUGUCACUUAUAGAUGGAUCCGCGCCGCAUUAGCUAGUUGGUAAGGUAACGGCUUACCAAGGCAACGAUGCGUAGCCGACCUGAGAGGGUGAUCGGCCACACUGGAACUGAGACACGGUCCAGACUCCUACGGGAGGCAGCAGUAGGGAAUCUUCCGCAAUGGGCGAAAGCUUGACGGAGCAACGCCGCGUGAGUGAUGAAGGUCUUCGGAUCGUAAAACUCUGUUAUUAGGGAAGAACAAAUGUGUAAGUAACUAUGCACGUCUUGACGGUACCUAAUCAGAAAGCCACGGCUAACUACGUG
rnacentral:rRNA from 1 species